GACGAACGCUGGCGGCGUGCUUAACACAUGCAAGUCGAACGGAAAGGCCCUGCUUUUGUGGGGUGCUCGAGUGGCGAACGGGUGAGUAACACGUGAGUAACCUGCCCUUGACUUUGGGAUAACUUCAGGAAACUGGGGCUAAUACCGGAUAGGAGCUCCUGCUGCAUGGUGGGGGUUGGAAAGUUUCGGCGGUUGGGGAUGGACUCGCGGCUUAUCAGCUUGUUGGUGGGGUAGUGGCUUACCAAGGCUUUGACGGGUAGCCGGCCUGAGAGGGUGACAGGCGACAUUGGGACUGAGAUACGGCCCAGACUCCUACGGGAGGCAGCAGUGGGGAAUAUUGCACAAUGGGCGGAAGCCUGAUGCAGCAACGCCGCGUGCGGGAUGACGGCCUUCGGGUUGUAAACCGCUUUCACCUGUGACGAAGCGUGAGUGACGGUAAUGGGUAAAGAAGCACCGGCUAACUACGUG
rnacentral:rRNA from 1 species